rnacentral:lncRNA from 1 species
AAUCUAUAAUAAAAUCAUGAAUCAUAUGCUUACAAAUUUAAAAUUUCUCAUUUAGUUUAUUUUUUAUUUUUUCACAUCAAAGAGUAUUACAUUAUUAUACUUAGUGUACAUUAAAAUUAAACAAAAUUAAAAAAAAAACAUCUCUAAGUGUGGGACCCCUCAAAGUUUGCAGGUUUUGGCAUGACCAUGUUGUCUUUGUGUGUAAAACCAUAGGCAUCUCUCUAUCCUAUACCAACGGAGAUAACAAUAACAUCUUUGUGCAGAAUCUGUUUUUGUCUUGUAUAUGCCUACACAUAAGCAACAUCAUAGUUAACAUAGAAAUAGGUAUAAACUUAGACUCAAAAGAAAAAUGAAAUUGAAAGGUAUCAAAACAUCAGCAUAGCAGAAAUUUUAAACUAAAAUGUUAAAAGCAAUUUUUGUACUUCAAAAAUUCAAUCAACUCCAUCACCAUUUGUUUUCAUACAACCACAAUCACAAAACCGAAUUUGUUCAGUAUAAAGAGAGGGGAAAAAUCAGAGGAAAAAUGGAGAGGAACCCUAGCCAUCAUUCCAAUACAUACUGAUGCAAAAAUCCUAAAACAUUCAAAGAUCAAACACAAAGAAAAACCACUGCAAAUGUUUUUCCCCUAAUCACCAUAGAACUCAAAAAUUUGCACAAAAAUCAAAAUAAAUAGGAACGAAAAGAAGUAGAAGGAAGGAACAUACCUAGAGGAUUUCAACCUUAACCGAGUCCCUCCUCCGUAGAUCUGGUACCUCAUCACCUCAUUUUCAUACUCGAGUCCCUUUCCCAUUUGAUAAGUGUUACAGUAUGGUUAUAUUUUUAGACAAAUAUUGAAAUCAGGUUUUGGGGAUUUUAUUUGAGGCUUAGGGAUUUUGAUUUGAAUGAUUUUUGAUUGUUUGUUUGAUUUCAGAUGUUGUAUUUGGUUUUUGUUUGAUUUCAAAUAUACAAACAUUUAUUUGCAGUUAUUUCAAAAUGUUGGGUUAUAUAGAGAAAAUAUAUCAAUGUCUGCGUGCUGUUUUCUGCCCCUGUCUUUUUUUUUUUUUUUUAUAAAAAAAUUGCCACUUAUAGUUAUAGUUCGUUGAGUGUCACUUUUUUCUUCUUCUUUGAAGUCAG